GCCGGGCGCGAUGGCGCGUGCCUAUAGUCCCAGCUACUCGAGUGGCUGAGGUGGGAGGAUCGCUUGGGCCCAGGAGUUCUGGGCUGUAGUGCGCUAUGCUGAUCGGGUGUCCGCACUAAGUUCGAUAUUAAUAUGGUGACCUUCUGGGAGUGGUGGACCACCAGGUUGCCUAAAGAGGGAUGAACCGGCCCAGGUCGGAAACGGAGCAGGUCAAAACUCCUGUGCUGAUUAGCGUCUGUGAAUAACCACUGCACUCCAGCCUGGGCAAUAUAGGGAGACCCUGUCUCUU
ensembl:misc_RNA Metazoa_SRP Metazoan signal recognition particle RNA